rnacentral:rRNA from 1 species
GUCGAGCGGUAACAGGUGUAGCAAUACAUGCUGACGAGCGGCGAACGGGUGAGUAACGCUUCGGAAUCUGCCCAAUGGUGGGGAAUAACCAGCCGAAAGGUUGGCUAAUACCGCAUGAGCCCUACGGGGGAAAGCGGGGGAUCGUAAGACCUCGCGCCGAUGGAUGAGCCGAAGCCGGAUUAGCUAGUUGGUAGGGUAACGGCCUACCAAGGCGACGAUCCGUAGCUGGUCUGAGAGGACGACCAGCCACACUGGGACUGAGACACGGCCCAGACUCCUACGGGAGGCAGCAGUGGGGAAUAUUGGACAAUGGGGGAAACCCUGAUCCAGCGACGCCGCGUGUGUGAAGAAGGCCUGCGGGUUGUAAAGCACUUUUAGUGGGGAUGAAAAGCUCAGGGCUAAUACCUCUGGGUCUUGACCUAACCCACAGAAAAAGCACCGGCUAACUCUGUGCCAGCAGCCGCGGUAAUACAGAGGGUGCGAGCGUUAAUCGGAAUUACUGGGCGUAAAGCGUACGUAGACGGUAUCGUAAGUCGGGUGUGAAAGCCCCGGGCUCAACCUGGGAAUUGCAUUCGAGACUGCUCUGCUAGGGUGCGGAAGAGGGAAGCGGAAUUUCCGGUGUAGCGGUGAAAUGCGUAGAUAUCGGAAGGAACACCAGUGGCGAAAGCGGCUUCCUGGUCCAGCAC